rnacentral:snRNA from 1 species
GGAUGUGACGGCAAUCUGACUUCUUCAUCUGUCACCCCAAUCAUCACCAGGAUUGAUUCGGCUGAUCUGGCUGGCUAGGCGGGUGUCCCCUUCCUCUCUCACUACUCCAUGUGCAUCCCUCCCAAAGUUGUCAGGCUGGUUGAAAAGGACUGGGCUUCCCUUUUCAAAUGGAGACAGAUGGUCAAGUAGCUGUGCUCCCCUAAUAGAACCUCCAAACAAGCUCUCAAAGUUCUGAGAGACAGUAAUUUUCAACCUAAAUUUUAUGCUCAGCAAAAACAUCCUUUAAAAAUGAGAGUUUAAUACUAUUU